rnacentral:rRNA from 1 species
UACGGGGGGAGCAAGCGUUGUUCGGAUUUACUGGGCGUAAAGGGCGCGUAGGCGGUCAGCACAAGUCAGUUGUGAAAUCUCCGGGCUUAACCCGGAAAGGUCAACUGAUACUGUGCGACUAGAGUGCGGAAGGGGCAACUGGAAUUCUCGGUGUAACGGUGAAAUGCGUAGAUAUCGAGAGGAACACCUGCGGCGAAGGCGGGUUGCUGGGCCGACACUGACGCUGAUGCGCGAAAGCCAGGGGAGCGAACGGG